AAAGAGUUGAAACUGGCUCAGGAUGAACGCUGGCGUGUGCUAAUACAUGCAAGUCGAACGCGUUGGCCCAAUUGAUUGAUGGUGCUUGCACGUGAUUGAUUUUGGUCGCCAACGAGUGGCGGACGGGUGAGUAACACGUAGGUAACCUGCCCAGAAGCGGGGGACAACAUUUGGAAACAGAUGCUAAUACCGCAUAACAGCGUUGUUCGCAUGAACAACGCUUAAAAGAUGGCUUCUCGCUAUCACUUCUGGAUGGACCUGCGGUGCAUUAGCUUGUUGGUGGGGUAAUGGCCUACCAAGGCGAUGAUGCAUAGCCGAGUUGAGAGACUGAUCGGCCACAAUGGGACUGAGACACGGCCCAUACUCCUACGGGAGGCAGCAGUAGGGAAUCUUCCACAAUGGGCGCAAGCCUGAUGGAGCAACACCGCGUGAGUGAAGAAGGGUUUCGGCUCGUAAAGCUCUGUUGUUAAAGAAGAACACGUAUGAGAGUAACUGUUCAUACGUUGACGGUAUUUAACCAGAAAGUCACGGCUAACUACGUGCCAGCAGCCGCGGUAAUACGUAGGUGGCAAGCGUUAUCCGGAUUUAUUGGGCGUAAAGAGAGUGCAGGCGGUUUUCUAAGUCUGAUGUGAAAGCCUUCGGCUUAACCGGAGAAGUGCAUCGGAAACUGGAUAACUUGAGUGCAGAAGAGGGUAGUGGAACUCCAUGUGUAGCGGUGGAAUGCGUAGAUAUAUGGAAGAACACCAGUGGCGAAGGCGGCUACCUGGUCUGCAACUGACGCUGAGACUCGAAAGCAUGGGUAGCGAACAGGAUUAGAUACCCUGGUAGUCCAUGCCGUAAACGAUGAGUGCUAGGUGUUGGGAGGGUUUCCGCCCUUCAGUGCCGGAGCUAACGCAUUAAGCACUCCGCCUGGGGAGUACGACCGCAAGGUUGAAACUCAAAGGAAUUGACGGGGGCCCGCACAAGCGGUGGAGCAUGUGGUUUAAUUCGAAGCUACGCGAAGAACCUUACCAGGUCUUGACAUCUUGCGCCAACCCUAGAGAUAGGGCGUUUCCUUCGGGAACGCAAUGACAGGUGGUGCAUGGUCGUCGUCAGCUCGUGUCGUGAGAUGUUGGGUUAAGUCCCGCAACGAGCGCAACCCUUGUUACUAGUUGCCAGCAUUAAGUUGGGCACUCUAGUGAGACUGCCGGUGACAAACCGGAGGAAGGUGGGGACGACGUCAGAUCAUCAUGCCCCUUAUGACCUGGGCUACACACGUGCUACAAUGGACGGUACAACGAGUCGCGAACUCGCGAGGGCAAGCAAAUCUCUUAAAACCGUUCUCAGUUCGGACUGCAGGCUGCAACUCGCCUGCACGAAGUCGGAAUCGCUAGUAAUCGCGGAUCAGCAUGCCGCGGUGAAUACGUUCCCGGGCCUUGUACACACCGCCCGUCACACCAUGAGAGUUUGUAACACCCAAAGUCGGUGGGGUAACCUUUUAGGAGCCAGCCGCCUAAGGUGGGACAGAUGAUUAGGGGAAGUCGUAACA
rnacentral:rRNA from 2 species